ACUAGACUGAUGAGUGCGAACGGGUGAGUAACGCGUAGGUAACCUGCCUCAUAGCGGGGGACAACUAUUGGAAACGAUAGCUAAUACCGCAUAAGAGUGAUUAACACAUGUUAGUUAUUUAAAAGGAGCAAUUGCUUCACUGUGAGAUGGACCUGCGUUGUAUUAGCUAGUUGGUGAGGUAAAGGCUCACCAAGGCGACGAUACAUAGCCGACCUGAGAGGGUGAUCGGCCACACUGGGACUGAGACACGGCCCAGACUCCUACGGGAGGCAGCAGUAGGGAAUCUUCGGCAAUGGACGGAAGUCUGACCGAGCAACGCCGCGUGAGUGAAGAAGGUUUUCGGAUCGUAAAGCUCUGUUGUUAGAGAAGAACGUUGGUAGGAGUGGAAAAUCUACCAAGUGACGGUAACUAACCAGAAAGGGACGGCUAACUACGUGCCAGCAGCCGCGGUAAUACGUAGGUCCCGAGCGUUGUCCGGAUUUAUUGGGCGUAAAGCGAGCGCAGGCGGUUCUUUAAGUCUGAAGUUAAAGGCAGUGGCUUAACCAUUGUACGCUUUGGAAACUGGAGGACUUGAGUGCAGAAGGGGAGAGUGGAAUUCCAUGUGUAGCGGUGAAAUGCGUAGAUAUAUGGAGGAACACCGGUGGCGAAAGCGGCUCUCUGGUCUGUAACUGACGCUGAGGCUCGAAAGCGUGGGGAGCAAACAGGAUUAGAUACCCUGGUAGUCCACGCCGUAAACGAUGAGUGCUAGGUGUUAGGCCCUUUCCGGGGCUUAGUGCCGCAGCUAACGCAUUAAGCACUCCGCCUGGGGAGUACGACCGCAAGUU
rnacentral:rRNA from 1 species